rnacentral:tRNA from 1 species
GGGAUUGUGGCUCAGUAGUAGGGUGCUUGCCUAGCAUGCAUGAGGCCCUGGGUUCCAACCUCAGCACCA